AUUCCCUUASUAACUGCGAGUGAACCGGGAUGAGCUCAAAUUUAAAAUCUGGCGGUUUUGCCGUCCGAGUUGUAWUCUGGAGAAGCGUUUUCCGCGUCGGACCGUGUACAAGUCUCUUGGAAUAGAGCGUCAUAGAGGGUGAGAAUCCCGUCCAUGACACGGACUCCCGGUGCUUUGUGAUACGCUCUCAAAGAGUCGAGUUGUUUGGGAAUGCAGCUCAAAAUGGGUGGUAAAUUCCAUCUAAAGCUAAAUAUUGGCGAGAGACCGAUAGCGAACAAGUACCGUGAGGGAAAGAUGAAAAGCACUUUGGAAAGAGAGUUAAACAGUACGUGAAAUUGUUGAAAGGGAAACGCUUGAAGUCAGUCGCGUCGUACGGAGCUCAGCCUUGCUUCUGCUUGGUGUAUUCUCCGUGUCGACGGGUCAACAUCAAUUUUGACCGGUGGAAAAGGGCUUAGGGAAUGUAGCGUUGUUUCGGCGACGUGUUAUAGCCCUAGGUCGUAUGCAUCGGUUGGGAUUGAGGACCGCAGCACGCCCUUGUGGCCGAGGGUUCGCCCUACGUUCGUGCUUAGGAUGUUGGCAAAAUGGCUUUAAGCGACCCGUCUUGAAACACGGACCAAGGAGUCUAACAUGCCUGCGAGUGUUCGGGUGGAAAACCCUUGCGCGUAAUGAAAGUGAAAGUUGGGAUCCUUCGCAAGGAGGUGCACCGACGCCCGGCCCUGACGUUCUCUGACGGUGCUGCGGUAGAGCAUGUAUGUUGGGACCCGAAAGAUGGUGAACUAUGCCUGAAUAGGGUGAAGCCAGAGGAAACUCUGGUGGAGGCUCGUAGCGAUUCUGACGUGCAAAUCGAUCGUCAAAUUUGGG
rnacentral:rRNA from 1 species